rnacentral:rRNA from 1 species
CAUGCAAGUCGAACGAGGUGCUUUUGUAGCAAUACGAAAGUAUCCUAGUGGCGAACGGGUGAGUAACACGUUGGUGACCUGCCCCAAAGUGUGGGAUAACAGUCCGAAAGGAUUGCUAAUACCGCAUGUGGUCUUCGGGUUUAGAAACCGAUGACUAAAGCAGUAAUGCGCUUUGGGAGGGACCUGCGUCCCAUCAGCUAGUUGGUGAGGUAACGGCCCACCAAGGCUACGACGGGUAGGGGACCUGAGAGGGUGGCCCCCCACAAUGGAACUGAAACACGGUCCAUACACCUACGGGUGGCAGCAGUAGGGAAUAUUGCUCAAUGGGCGAAAGCCUGAAGCAGCAACGCCGCGUGUGCGAAGAAGGCCUUCGGGUCGUAAAGCACUUUUCUGAGAGAUGAGAAAGGACAGUAUCUCAGGAAUAAGUCUCGGCUAACUACGUGCCAGCAGCCGCGGUAAAACGUAGGAGGCAAGCGUUAUCCGGAUUCACUGGGCGUAAAGCGCGUGCAGGCGGUUCGGUAAGUUGGGCGUGAAAUCUCCUGGCUUAACUAGGAGAGGUCGUUCAAUACUACCGGGCUAGAGAGUGGUAGAGGAAGAUGGAAUUCCCGGUGUAGUGGUGAAAUGCGUAGAUAUCGGGAGGAACACCAGUGGCGAAAGCGAUCUUCUGGACCAUUUCUGACGCUCAGACGCGAAAGCUAGGGUAGUAAACGGGAUUAGAGACCCCGGUAAUCCUAGCCGUAAACGAUGUAAACUUGGCGUCGGUGGCUUAAACUCCAUCGGUGCCGCAGCAAACGCGAUAAGUUUACCGCCUGGGGACUACG